UUUCCGCUCUAUCUCGCGGGAAAUUGGGGGGGAUACAAUUUCCCCCGGAAACACCUAUGGACAAGGAUAGGCAAGUUGAAAUACCUCACUAAACGGAACAAAAAGCAGAAAAUCCACGGGGUCGCGGCGCUCUUGGACUAUUUGAUCUCUCGGGCCGCAGGACUCCGUAGCUUUCGUUGAAAUCCCGAAGCUAACUUGGAAUGCUUUUUAAUCUAUAAAUCUAGAGAUUGAAAGAGGAUAGAGGAUUCCUGAUGUAGAGGUCAAACUCGUAAUUAUUAGUUGAACACCAGUGGCGGAGGGCGGCUGUCUGUUCCAAAUCUAACGCUGAAGCGCGAAGGCGUGGGGAGCAGACAGGAUUAGAUACCCUGGUCGUGCACGCUGUAACCGAUGAAUGUUAAAUAUAGAGAGUGUACUUUCUGUAUUACAGCUAACGCGUUCAACAUUACGCCUGGCGACUGCGGUCGCAAGAGUAAAACUCAAAGGAAUUGACGGGGACGCGCACAAGCGGUGGAGCAUGUGGUUUAAUUUGAUGCAACGCGAAAAAACUUACCACUUCUUGUCAUGAAAAUCAUACCUAUUCGAAGGGAUAGGGUCGGUUCGGCCGGAUUUUACUCAAGUGUUGCAUGGCUGUCGUCAGCUCGUGUCGUGAGAUGUUGGGUUAAGUCCCGCAACGAGCGCAACCCUCAUCCUUAGUUGCCAUCAGGUAAUGCUGAGUACUGUAAUUUAACAGCCAGUGAUAAGCUGGAGGAAGGUGGGGAUGAUGUCAAGUCAUCAUGGCCUUUAUGGAGUGGGCUACACACGUGCUACAAUGGUGUCUACAAUGGGCUGCAAGGUGCGCAAGCCUAAGCUAAUCCCUAAAAGACAUCUCAGUUCGGAUUGUACUCUGCAACUCGAGGGGGGGCC
rnacentral:rRNA from 1 species